GCGAAAGUGGCGGAACUGGUAGACGCGCAAGACUUAGGAUCUUGUGGCCGCUGGCCGUGGGGGUUCGAGUCCCCCCUUUCGCA
rnacentral:tRNA from 2 species